rnacentral:rRNA from 1 species
UACAGAGGGUGCGAGCGUUAAUCGGAAUUACUGGGCGUAAAGCGCGCGUAGGCGGCUUUGCAAGUCGGGUGUGAAAUCCCCAGGCUUAACCUGGGAACUGCAUUUUUAACUGCCGGGCUAGAGUAUGUCAGAGGGGGGUAGAAUUCCACGUGUAGCAGUGAAAUGCGUAGAGAUGUGGAGGAAUACCGAUGGCGAAGGCAGCCCCCUGGGAUAAUACUGACGCUCAUGCACGAAAGCGUGGGGAGCAAACAGG